AUGACUGAGAGCUGCUGCUACAGCAACUUCACCCACAGCUACCAUGACCUUGAUCCCCGUCUUCAUCUGGACACUGAUCCUCUGGACUCAAGACUCACUGUUUCUAUUAUAAUAUUUCACUUACUUAAAAUUUAUGUUACAUUAAAAAUAUUUUUUUCAGAAUGCAGCAGUCAAGCCACAGUAACUCAGACUCCUGCAGUGAAAUCUGCUCUUCCAGGAGAAACAGUCACCAUCAACUGUAGAACCAGUCAGGCAGUGAGCAAGGACUCAAAUGCAGUCUCUUGGUAUCAGCAGAAACCUGGAGAAGCUCCUAAACUACUGAUCAUAAAAGCAAAUCAGCUACAGUCGGGUAUUCCAGCUCGUUUCAGUGGCAGUGGAUCUGGAUCUGAUUUCACUCUGACCAUCAGUGGAGUCCAGACUGAAGAUGCAGGAGAUUAUUACUGUCAGAGUUACCACAGUGGUGCUGUGUUCACACAGUGUUAUAGAGUCGUACAAAAACCUCCCUCACUCAGAUUGUAG